AUGGCCAGAGCCAAACCUCUGGCCGGAGAGAGAAUAAACACCAUACAUGUGCAAAACAGCCAUAUGUUUAUCAGCUCAUUAAUUAGUAGUCACUUAUGUGUCUGUAUAGAUGAAUAUGGAUGCAUGCGGAAUAAUGCUAAGUAGUGCCUGAUAACGUAAGUAUGAAAUGAACUAGCAAAAUUUUGAGAGGGAGGGAAUAUUGGUUAACUUUUGAAAGAAGCUAUAUAUUUGUUACAAACGCAUUUAAUUAGAAGAUAAACUGUAAUUAAGAGAAGCAUGCGAUGAAAAUUAAGCUUUCGAUGAUAAGCCAUAAUUAAGAAGAACGUAAAUCAAGUUCAAAGGAGU
rnacentral:sRNA from 1 species